rnacentral:sRNA from 1 species
GCCCGGCCUGACCUCCCAACCCCCACUUCCCCUCUCCCCACCUCACCCUGCUCACCCACGCCCCGGUCACUGCAAGGGGAUGCUGCACCCCCUCAAGGUGAAGAGCUGAUUGAGGCUGCCAAGAGGAACGACUUCUGUAAGGCCUGUGCUGGUGUACCCGGCUGUGGGCCAGCGUGUGAGCUCGGGGAAGGAGGGGUGGCCCCAGGAGGUCCAGCCCUGCCAUGCCUCCUGCCCUCAGCUCCAGGAGCUGCACCGAGCUGGGGGCGACCUCAUGCACCGAGACGAGCAGAGUCGCACGCUCCUGCACCACGCAGUCAGCACUGGCAGCAAGGAUGUGGUCCGCUACCUGCUGGACCACGCCCCCCCAGAGAUCCUUGAUGCGGUGGAGGAAAACGGGGAGACCUGUUUGCACCAAGCAGCGGCCCUGGGCCAGCGCACCAUCUGCCACUACAUCGUGGAGGCCGGGGCCUCGCUCAUGAAGACAGACCAGCAG